UGUGUGUGUGUGUGUGUGUGUGUGUGUGGUGUGGUGUGUGUGUAGAGAUUCUAGAGUCUAGCAAUCAGACUUCUGAUUCAGUUGAUAUCACUGUGAAGUACUUCUAAUUUCUUUGUUUUUCUAUGUGUACGGUCUGAGUCUUUCUCUGUAGCCACCUUCAUCCUGAAAACCCUUUUUUUGUAGGCUGAGCAAUAUGAAAUAUUGUCAAAAAGUAUUGUCCACCAGCAUUCAUGAAAUGUAUACGUCACAUUGAAUCAUUUUUUUAAUAGGAUGCAUAAUAAUUACUUACUUCACAUCUAGUAAAGAAACAUGACUUGAUUCAAAGUUUCCAACUACAAACCCAGACCAGCAUCAUAAACCAGCAUUACUGAACUAUUCACCAAAUGUGUAAUGACUACUCCCCUGUAAGUAAUAAAUGUACUUGGAUGACCACUCACAAGAACAAAACCAUAAAUCUUCAUCUCCCUUUUUCUGUCCGGCGGCCAAAACACACAGGGCUUUUGAAUUUGGGACCAAACAUAACAUUCCUGUUGUUUAGUAGUGUAGGUGUUAAGCUAAAGUGUUCUAGCAAUAUCUGUGUGGUAGUUUAGGUGUGUUGUAUGGUUGAGAAACACCAUGGAUUCAGCAGUGGGGUUUUGUAGACAAAUGGUAUAUUCCCCAAAAGCUCCUUGGAUGAACUCAUUUGAUUGAUUUUCUGACAGAAAGUCAUUUUUCUUUUCCUCCACAGCUUGUCUCCUCAUCUCUCCAUGUGUUGGUUUGACUUGCUUCUCGAUCCGAGUGGCUUAGCCACCGACUCGAUAUGCUAACACCACUCAGACAAUCUGUUGAAGUUUAGACAUCGUUUAUGAAAUCAUGCUGCAUGUACCACAUUUAUAAAAUGUUUUAUGUUUAUUAUAUAAAUGUUUUAUAAAAUGUUUAGAAAACAUCAGGAAGUCAUGUUUACAUUGAUUGGUGAAAACAAUGCUGGUAUACAAAACUACUUGAUAGCCUUCCUAAAAGUGCAAAUAUGUUCAAGAUGAAACGUGCUUGUCUUUCACACUUAGUUUGCAGGAUAUUAUUCGGUUCUUUGUGCAGGUUAAACUGAGUUUGCUGUGAUGGGCAGACAACAUGCUCCUCUUUAUUCUGAUGUUAUAUUUUCAUGAGAAAAGUGCUAAUAGGAAUCCUUUUUCAUUCAACUGGUGACAUUAGGGCUUGCUAAAAUAGCUGUAACGAAGUGAAAGUUGACUUUUAUUGAAAAGAAAAAUUGCUCAAUUACAUUAUUUGUGUUGUAUAGAGAAUGUUGACUGUAGGAGAUUUACUUACGAAAGGUAGAACUGCUGGUUACCCCUUUAAAUGUAGUUGGCCCAAAUAAACCAACAAGGCUAUUAUUUUUAAAGAUUGAAUUUGGAUGGAUUUUAAAUAGUUUUCCUUCGAUUGGAGAUUGUGUAAACAAGAUGUCACUCCAUGAACAGGGCCCGUUUCCUAGUAUUCAAUAUAAUGGCAUAUGACAGUAGAGUGUAUUUUCCUCUGUAAUUGGUUUUGAUAUGUUUUGAUGUGCAAAUCGUAUUAAAUAAACAGGUCUGAUUGUA